rnacentral:rRNA from 1 species
CAACUUUCAACAACGGAUCUCUUGGUUCUCGCAUCGAUGAAGAACGCAGCGAAUUGCGAUAUGUAAUGUGAAUUGCAGAAUUCAGUGAAUCAUCGAAUCUUUGAACGCACCUUGCGCCCUUUGGUAUUCCGAAGGGCAUGCCUGUUUGAGUGUCAUUA